GACGAACGCUGGCGGCGUGCUUAACACAUGCAAGUCGAACGGGAAGGCCCUGCUUUUGUGGGGUGCUCGAGUGGCGAACGGGUGAGUAACACGUGAGUAACCUGCCCUUGACUUUGGGAUAACUUCAGGAAACUGGGGCUAAUACCGGAUAGGAGCUCCUGCUGCAUGGUGGGGGUUGGAAAGUUUCGGCGGUUGGGGAUGGACUCGCGGCUUAUCAGCUUGUUGGUGGGGUAGUGGCUUACCAAGGCUUUGACGGGUAGCCGGCCUGAGAGGGUGACCGGCCACAUUGGGACUGAGAUACGGCCCAGACUCCUACGGGAGGCAGCAGUGGGGAAUAUUGCACAAUGGGCGGAGGCCUGAUGCAGCAACGCCGCGUGCGGGAUGACGGCCUUCGGGUUGUAAACCGCUUUCGCCUGUGACGAAGCGUGAGUGACGGUAAUGGGUAAAGAAGCACCGGCUAACUACGUG
rnacentral:rRNA from 1 species